CUGGGUUUGGCACGAGCUGGUUUCCAUCUUGGUCUCUGGCUACGCUGCUCUUGUAAAUGCAUUGUUGUUAGUUCCUUCGUUUAUGUCUCUGCGCACGUGACAUUAUGGUCGAGGUUGGCGAUCCGGUCGUCACGACGGAGCUUCGUAGCGCUCUCUACAUCCAGCUCGCCACAGUGCUUUCAAUGCGUCGGCUACAACUCGUCAGACUGCUCCUGUCGGGGCGCUUUCCCAGGCUCGCGACCCUGGUCUGGUUUCCGGCUUGGACGGCACUGACGUCGAAGAACGGACCAACUUGUGUAAACGUGUCGGUAUUAAUAACAGAACCCAAGAAUCAAGAAGCUCAAUCAAGAAGAAACGAAGACAAAAGCGCAGAAGACCGCCAAGAAUCGUGGGAUGCCAUGCUCGCGGUCCUGGACUGGGAGGACAAGUGCAAGCUGGUGAACCAGGCCAGGGAAGCGGCAAACGCCAAUGGCUCACUGGACUGACGAGCAAACCGCCUUGAUUGAAGAAAGAAGAAAUCUUAGUCACUGAUUCAUAUCAUUAAACGAUUGUUCUCUCUCU